GAUAGGUUGGGUGUGGAAGCGCAGCAAUGCGUUAAGCUAACCAAUACUAAUUGCUCGUGAGGCUUGACCCU
rnacentral:rRNA from 1 species